UGAAAAAUUCAGGUUACCGCAGAGAACUUUUGUUCCCACUUUACUUAAAUUUUGGUAACUUUGGUUACCACUUUACUUAAAUUUGGAAUAAGUAAAGUGGUCCGGUAAAUCAAACAUUCAUCUAAUAAUGGUAACCUAAAUUUAUAGACUUAAUCACUCUCUGUCAAUGUAGAAAUCAUCUAUACUUAUUCUGAAUUUAAGUCUGCUUCUUGAUUUCUUAUUUGAUUCUAUAAACCAAAGUGUAGUGGUUGUUAACUAGGGAUACUGAAAAGGCAAUUCUGUGGUUUCUAGCAAGCACUUAUCAUGGUUUGUUAAUGCAUCGGUAUAACAACAAAGGAUUUUAUGGUGGUUAAUGUUCAAUAUUAAUUCAUUCCAGCGGCUUUCUGCUGGCAGGAUGGAAAGCUGUACUCGUGUUUGCUUAAUUGUUUCUUCCUUUUCUGCCUAUUGCAGUUAUGUUGUUGAUGCUGUUGAUCACAGAUAAUGUAGCCAUCUCAAUAAGUGAACGUCAUGACCUGUUGAGCAAACCUUCACUGUUAUCACUGAGUAGUAUCCACUUGUUGGUUCCAGGCAAAAAGACUGACAUGGUGGAAGCUGUAUCCUAACAGUCUUUAACUGAUUAAAUGUAUGUGAUGAAGACAUUGUUUCUCCCUGUUAAUAAUUGGGACUGAAGUCAUUGGCUUGUAAAGCAUUCAGAGUCGAAAAGCUAAAGAACCUAAAGAUCCUUUUCGAGUGUGAUUCUAGUCAUUUUCCCCUUCUAUGCCGAGGUUUCUAGAUUGCCUUUGGGUGGUGAUCGAUCUGAGAGUUGCUUUUAGUAAUCAGGAAUGAAUUCCCCACCAGAAUAAUUCUCCAGUUUGACCUUCAUCAAGACAAGUGUCAAUACAUCCGAAUCCCACUUGCAAGUAAUGAAUUCCCCACCAGUAAGGACCAUAUUCGGCUGUUCGAGUUAGCUGGAUUUUUAGGUGUUGCGAUUCUUCUUUGGAAAAGUAAUACAACUACUACUACUUUGGAGAAGGUUCACUUGAAAUUUUACAAAGACAACCAAGUUUGGCUCAAGAAGACAAUUGAUAUUUUGAUAUGCUCAAUUCCUUACACUGCCAAUUUUCGCUUUAUCAACUUCUCCGAUCAGAUUUUACUGCACUGGAUGGAUCCCAAUUGUAUUCAGUUCUUCAAUCUGCAGAGUAAAUGUCUCAAAGUGGUUCAGAAACUUGCUUCAGGCAUCUGGGAGAACAGAUUGCUCCAACUUGCUAAAGACGAAGACUAUUGGCUGAAUCAUGAGGUCCAAAACAUCUCUUCUCCGAGGACCUUGUUGCCGGAACGAGCUCAAAAAUCUGAUUUCGAAUCUGUGCGUUCGAUGAUGAUGAAAUGCCUUUAGGAUGUGUUUCUUGUGCAAGAAUCGAAAACACUCGGAUUAUUGGCGUCAUUUUUUCCAGCAAAAAUCAACCAACAGUACUUCUUUAAUGAUAAUUAGUGUUUUCGUUUAGUGCUUUGUGUUAUUUAAUUUUGAUUAUCAAUGACUUUGUUUUAUGAACA